CAGAAACACAAUACUGGGAAAGAGCUCUGAACAGAAGAAAGCACAGCAGAGAAUUUUGAGAGUGUAGUUAUUUCUACCUUACAUGCUCUAUCUACUAGCAUUGACCGAUAUCCCAUUUAUAAGUAAACAGGUUAGCACCCCACUUCUGUCUGCUCAGGACUUGCAGAUCCGAGGAGACGGUCCAUGUAGAAAGAUAUGUGUUAUCAUUUGUUGAGACUGGAUAGCGAGAGAGAGGAAAGGUGUAGUAAUUCCAUUCUUAUCUUUAGCAAAAAACGUUAGCUUUAGCAUCUUAUCUGGGAUAAACAAUACAAAUGACAUUUUUGCCACAUUAAGUCCAAAUGGGUAUUCUGACUAUGCCCUGACCUCAGAGUUAAAGUGAUAUAUCCCUGACUGUAAUCGUUGUUUUAUCUGUCCUUUCACAACAGGCAGUGUUUCAAUUUAAAUUAUUCAAGACUUGAGUGGGUGGUAAGCUUCUGUUACAGGGUGUAACACCUUAGCAAUCGUUCCCAUCUCUUUCACAAUGUUUCUGUAUAUUUCUUCUGGCUGAGAGGGAGCUUCAUCAUUGUUUCCCCGCCGUGCUUCAAGUGCUGACACAUUCAUCAAGUAGAGAUGAGGCUAUUAUUCCCAAGGCCUGACGUCAUAGGAUAGCCACUUGUCUUUUGUGGGAGUGAAUCGAUUUUGAAAUUGCAGCCUGUAGUCCAUGAUGGACACCCGGCCUUUCCUUGCCGUUGCUCUUGCUAUUAUUUAGCGAUUUGUCUUUUUGAGUUUUGUAAUUAUGCCCAAUGCUACUGAGCCUGGUGACAUUUUGAGUUGUGCAGACAAUGAGAUGGUUUGCUCAGCGUUAAGUCUGACAGGCCAGCUAUUAAGCUUAGCAUGGCAAUUUAUAGACCUUUCAAGUCAGAUCUAUACAUUACAUGUUAUAUUAAUGGCAACAUUUGGGAUUCUGACAUUAUGGUAAUCUAACCUUUUCUCUAACAAAAACUUUAUUUUCUUCUUUAAAUUAGAUUUCGGAUCAGAUAUAAAAUCUGAACUUUUAUAUUUUCUGUUCUUGGCUUUAAAAUCUUGCUUAACUGCUAUGGUCACCAUUUACUUUUUAUCAUGAAAGAAAGAAAAAAAAAAAAUCUCCUUUUGUGCUCCACAAAAGAAAGUCAUACAGAAAGACAUUAAGGGUGAGUAAGUGAUGAAUUGUCUUUUUUUUUUUUUUUUUUUUUUGGGAUGAACUGUUCCUUUAAUACGUUGGCCAGAAUGCAUAACAAAUCUGAUAUUAUACAUUCUCCCGCACAAGAAAAAAGCCUUUCAACUAGAAAAUAAAAACUCGGCUCAUUAUUCUCGUCACUAGAGAGAUAGAAAAUCCUUGGUGGGUUCAUUUUAUGCAGUUUUACAAAUAAGAAAGAAAAUCUGUCCUCUUCCUCCCACUCAUCAGCUUGCCUUCCCCCCCUACUGUUUCUUUUCUUUCUAUCUUUUUUUGCUUCCCAUCUCUCGCUAAACUACCAAAAUGCAGGAAGCCACAGCAGGC
rnacentral:lncRNA from 1 species